GCCAAAUAUAGUAUUCUUUGGAGAAAAGUUGUUUCAAGUUUUGGUGUCUCUGCCCUACUAUUGCCCAGGGCUUGUGUUCACCUUUGUCCUUCCUUUGUUCUCAUCACCUGAGUCAGAUGAUGGACAAGACAGCUCAUGACCACGAAUCAGCCAGAGAAAGAGCUGAAGGGCCCAGCAUGAAGUCUUUGUUCCCAAGAGGUGGUGUGGUACCUGGGGACCAUUAUGACAACAUACACCACCUAGGGGGCCCUCUAUGGAUGACAGCUCCUCCUAGUUCAUAAAUCUGCAGUUUAUCUAAAGUUUUCCAGUGUUUUCAAAUUUGGCACCCCAGCAGCAACAGCCCAUGAACACCAGCUCUGCAGACUCAUGUACACACUUGAUAAGAUUCGCCCUGGAGCUAUGCUGCCAGUAGUCACCCGAGCUGAUGCGUGGAGCCCAGAAGAUCCGUUCUCUAAAAAUGAAGAGGAAGCCCACUAUUUUCCACAAGGGCCCAGCACUGCAGACAGUCUAAACAUGAACAGAGAAGCGUGCUUCCAGAAAUUGGAACAAAGUCCUGGGAAAGCAGAAGGAACUGGCUUAGACACGGAUUUUGAUUCUAGAAUGGACGUUGGUGAGGAACAACACAGGAGGGAGCAAACUACUGGGCUUGAGUCUAAGAUCCAUGAAGGGGUGAGCAAGAGAUGUCCUGUAUUCAUGCACCACCCACCAUGGACCAGCAUGGAGCAUAUGUCUCAAAGACCCUAAGGCUUUCCCCAAGGUUAUCAUCUCCAGCUGCACCUUGCAGCUUCCACAUAAUGAAAUUUGGGGGAGGAUGGAGACUCCAUACAGUGAGAAGUUUUUCUAAGAAGGUUCUUCUAGAACAUCUCUCACUGGCUCUGUGCAGAGGGGACUUUCCUCAUCAGAGCCAACCUUCUAGGAAACCACGUAUCCAGCAGUCUAUACAGUGAUUUUUAA
rnacentral:lncRNA from 1 species